rnacentral:rRNA from 1 species
GAGUUUGAUCAUGGCUCAGGAUGAACGCUGGCGGCGUGCUUAACACAUGCAAGUCGAACGAACCUUCGGGUUAGUGGCGGACGGGUGAGUAACGCGUGGGAAUCUGCCCUCAGGAGGGGGAUAACAGCUGGAAACGGCUGCUAAUACCCCAUAUGCCGCGAGGUGAAAUGAAUUUCGCCUGAGGAUGAGCUCGCGUCUGAUUAGCUAGUUGGUGUAGGUAAUGGCUCACCAAGGCAUCGAUCAGUAGCUGGUCUGAGAGGAUGAUCAGCCACACUGGGACUGAGACACGGCCCAGACUCCUACGGGAGGCAGCAGUGGGGAAUUUUCCGCAAUGGGCGAAAGCCUGACGGAGCAACGCCGCGUGAGGGAUGAAGGCCUCUGGGCUGUAAACCUCUUUUAUCAAGGAAGAAGAUCUGACGGUACUUGAUGAAUAAGCCACGGCUAAUUCCGUGCCAGCAGCCGCGGUAAUACGGGAGUGGCAAGCGUUAUCCGGAAUUAUUGGGCGUAAAGCGUCCGCAGGCGGCCCUUCAAGUCUGCUGUUAAAAAGUGGAGCUUAACUCCAUCAUGGCAGUGGAAACUGAGGGGCUUGAGUGUGGUAGGGGCAGAGGGAAUUCCCGGUGUAGCGGUGAAAUGCGUAGAUAUCGGGAAGAACACCAGUGGCGAAGGCGCUCUGCUGGGCCAUCACUGACGCUCAUGGACGAAAGCCAGGGGAGCGAAAGGGAUUAGAUACCCCUGUAGUCCUGGCCGUAAACGAUGAACACUAGGUGUCGGGGGAAUCGACCCCCUCGGUGUCGUAGCCAACGCGUUAAGUGUUCCGCCUGGGGAGUACGCACGCAAGUGUGAAACUCAAAGGAAUUGACGGGGGCCCGCACAAGCGGUGGAGUAUGUGGUUUAAUUCGAUGCAACGCGAAGAACCUUACCAGGGUUUGACAUCCUGCGAAUCUCUUGGAAACGAGAGAGUGCCUUCGGGAGCGCAGUGACAGGUGGUGCAUGGCUGUCGUCAGCUCGUGUCGUGAGAUGUUGGGUUAAGUCCCGCAACGAGCGCAACCCACGUCUUUAGUUGCCAGCAUUUAGUUGGGCACUCUAGAGAGACCGCCGGUGAUAAACCGGAGGAAGGUGUGGAUGACGUCAAGUCAUCAUGCCCCUUACAUCCUGGGCUACACACGUACUACAAUGCUACGGACAAAGGGCAGCAAGUUCGCGAGGACAAGCAAAUCCCAUAAACCGUGGCUCAGUUCAGAUCGUAGGCUGCAACUCGCCUACGUGAAGGAGGAAUCGCUAGUAAUCGCAGGUCAGCAUACUGCGGUGAAUACGUUCCCGGGCCUUGUACACACCGCUCGUCACACCAUGGAAGUUGGCCACGCCCGAAGCCGUUACUCCAACCCUUGUGGAGGAGGACGUCGAAGGUGGGGCUGAUGACUGGGGUGAAGUCGUAACAAGGUAACC